UAAAAAACAGGUUUGCUAUGCUUACACUGAAAAAGCUUUACACCGUAUUUACACCAUAUGUUUUUCAAAACAUUUUAGCUUUGGACCCAAAUACCAAGACAAGAAAAAAUUAUUAAAAACAAAACAAAGGGAUGGAUCUUGGCUCACUAUCACCGCAUCUACGGAUUUGCACGUUCUCCGGCUUAUACUCAUGAUUGGCCAUAUACUUGUCGAUUUGUCCUUAGUAUAGGGAAUAAUCAUAUCUUGUCGUACAGUGUGUAUAUUGACCGCACUCAGGAUGACAAUGUAAAAUGGAGGUCAUACGGUGCUCACCAGGACAGAGUUCCAUUCAACCUCAUUUCCUUAUACUCUAGAUGGUUGGCAUGUGAGACCAACAUCAUGUGCAGGUAUCUGUCCAAGUGGUGCAUGUGACAGUUUGAGUACGUCCAGAUCAUUUCCAGGUCACCCUUCCAAGUUGCUUCUAUCUGUAGUGUCUGCAGAAAUCUGGAUGACAUUAUGGAGGAUUUUGAGAAUCAUUUGAUACCGAUGGAGUAUCGAACUCAUAAGGCCACAUCUCAAUGGAGCUAUGUUUAGGGUUACAUGACAUGGUUCAAUAAAGUGUCACACCCUUACAAGACACAGGACGCUCCUAGACGCCCACCUAUGUUUGCUCAUGAGGAGCUCCUGGAGAAUCAAGAGGCAUUGGACAAUCAUAUCGUUGAUGUGUUGUCGCUCAGAGUAUUAUGCGGCUUACACAUUAGGGCAUCAAGUUCGAAGUGUUUGUAAGAGGUGAAGAUGAAGCGGUCACCCUAGUAAAGUUCAUUCUUUUUGAGGCACAGAGUGUCGUGGCUUACCGUAGACUGAGAAGGAAACAGGGUGUUAGGAUUAAGAAUACACAGUAGUGUAUUUUGAUUGUAUUUUGUUUAAUUUUAAUCGACUUUGAGAAUAAUGGUUGUACUAAUAUAUUCGAUUUCUAUAAUAUUCGAUUUUAUUAAAGCUUUA